CCUACGGGCGGCAGCAGUGGGGAAUAUUGCACAAUGGGGGAAACCCUGAUGCAGCGACGCCGCGUGAGUGAAGAAGUAAUUCGGUAUGUAAAGCUCUAUCAGCAGGGAAGAAAAUGACGGUACCUGAGUAAGAAGCCCCGGCUAACUACGUGACAGCAGCCGCGGUAAUACGUAGGGGGCAAGCGUUAUCCGGAUGUACUGGGUGUAAAGGGAGCGUAGACGGCAGUGCAAGUCUGGAGUGAAAGGCGGGGGCUCAACCCCCGGACUGCUAUGGAAACUGUAAGGCUGGAGUGCAGGAGAGGGAAGCGGAAUUCCUGGUGUAGCGGUGAAAUGCGUAGAUAUUAGGAGGAACACCAGUGGCGAAGGCGGCUUACUGGACUGUAACUGACGUUGAGGCUCGAAAGCGUGGGGAGCAAACAGGAUUAGAUACCCCAGUAGUC
rnacentral:rRNA from 1 species